rnacentral:rRNA from 1 species
AUGAGAAGGUUGUCUGUCUUCUACGAGAAGAGGAAAUCAAAUACUACCAUAGGUUCAAAGCCGACUUCAUCCUCAGGGGAGAUAGCAAUACAAGAUACUUUCAAUUGGUCGCCAAUGGUCGCCAUAGGAAGAAAUGUAUUCAUAGUCUCCAACAGGAUGAGGGGCGGAUCGAAGGUCAAGAGGAGCUCAAAAUGUAUAUCACCAAAUACUAUAAAUCUCUAUUCGGAGCGCCGGAUGAAGGGAAUGUCACCCUUGACGAGACCCGAACAUCCACAAGUCACGGCAGAAGAGAACGAUAUCAUCACGGCACCUUUCUCAGAAGAGGAGGUGAGAGCGGCUGUGUUCCAAAUGGAACACAAUAAAGCUCAAGGCCCUGAUGGUUUCCCCGCAGAAUUCUAUCAGAAUUUCUGGGAUAUCAUCAAGACUGACCUUUUGGAGUUGUUCAAUUGUCUUCAUGCUGAUCGGCUUGACCUAUUCAGGCUGAAUUUUGGCGAGAUUGUCUUGUUGCCGAAGAUUAAGGAGGCCGAACGGAUCCAACAGUUCAGACCCAUAUGCCUCCUUAAUGUCAGCUUCAAGAUUUUCACCAAAGUGAACAUGAGUGGAGUGAUAUUCAAAAUUGACUUUGAAAAAGCCUAUGACAAGGUUAAAUGGUCUUUCCUCCAAUAG